rnacentral:lncRNA from 1 species
GCUCAAUUCACUACCAGGUUCUGUAGCUGCAUCUCUCUGUGUGUGCUCGGGUGGGGUGGGGACAGAGGUCAUCACUGCGGCAGUGUGGAGCACCCACCCCCAGAAGAGCAAGGCCAAGCAUGCGUGGUGAACUUGGCCUCGAGAAUGGAGACACACUGGGAAAGCGAGGGUUAACUUUUCCAGGCCUGGGACAGCCCGCCUCCUUGUGGAAGAGACCCUGGGCUGGCAGGGUGGGACCAUCUUUGUUCAGCCCCCUGGGUCUAGACAAAGUGGGUCAUUUGGGAUACCUCUGAAUGCCUGGCGUGUUCCACUCAGGUCACUCUGGCUGCUGUGAGGAAACUAAAUUGAAGGGGACAAGACUGGACGGCGAGGGACCAGCUGGGAAGCUCUUGAGAAAUGACACACGGGGAAGGUCGUGCGAUGACGAAAGCAGACUGGAGAGAUGCGGCCGCGAGUCAAGGAGCACCGAGGACUACCGUCCACUACCAGCUACCAGAAACAGAACGUCCCCUGAGCCUCAGGAAAGACCAGGCCUCCAAUACCCUGAUUUUGGACUCCUGGCCUCCAGAACAUGAGAGAACCAACUGUUGUUGUUUUCAGCCACCUAGAUUGUGGUGACCCUGUUACAGCAGCCUGG